GAUGAACGCUGGCGGCGUGCCUAAUACAUGCAAGUCGAGCGAACGGACGAGAAGCUUGCUUCUCUGAUGUUAGCGGCGGACGGGUGAGUAACACGUGGAUAACCUACCUAUAAGACUGGGAUAACUUCGGGAAACCGGAGCUAAUACCGGAUAAUAUUUUGAACCGCAUGGUUCAAAAGUGAAAGACGGUCUUGCUGUCACUUAUAGAUGGAUCCGCUCUGCAUUAGCUAGUUGGUAAGGUAACGGCUUACCAAGGCAACGAUGCAUAGCCGACCUGAGAGGGUGAUCGGCCACACUGGAACUGAGACACGGUCCAGACUCCUACGGGAGGCAGCAGUAGGGAAUCUUCCGCAAUGGGCGAAAGCCUGACGGAGCAACGCCGCGUGAGUGAUGAAGGUCUUCGGAUCGUAAAACUCUGUUAUUAGGGAAGAACAUAUGUGUAAGUAACUGUGCACAUCUUGACGGUACCUAAUCAGAAAGCCACGGCUAACUACGUG
rnacentral:rRNA from 1 species